AUACGGAGAGGGUGAGUGAGCUAGUACCGGAUGUGCCGAAAGGCCGAAAGGUUUACUGCCUAAAGAUGAGCUCGCGUCUGAUUAGCUAGUAGGUGGGGUAAAAGCCUACCUAGGCGACGAUCAGUAGCUGGUCUGAGAGGAUGAUCAGCCACACUGGGACUGAGACACGGCCCAGACUCCUACGGGAGGCAGCAGUGGGGAAUUUUCCGCAAUGGGCGAAAGCCUGACGGAGCAAUACCGCGUGAGGGAGGAAGGCUCUUGGGUUGUAAACCUCUUUUCUCAGGGAAGAAAAAAAUGACGGUACCUGAGGAAUAAGCAUCGGCUAACUCCGUGCCAGCAGCCGCGGUAAUACGGAGGAUGCAAGCGUUAUCCGGAAUGAUUGGGCGUAAAGCGUCCGCAGGUGGCUGUGUAAGUCUGCUGUUAAAGAGCAAAGCUCAACUUUGUAAGAGCAGUGGAAACUACACGGCUAGAGUGCGUUCGGGGCAGAGGGAAUUCCUGGUGUAGCGGUGAAAUGCGUAGAGAUCAGGAAGAACACCGGUGGCGAAGGCGCUCUGCUAGGCCGCAACUGACACUGAGGGACGAAAGCUAGGGGAGCGAAUGGGAUUAGAUACCCCAUUAGUCAAUAGGACUGGGGGAGUAUCUAAUCCCAUUCACGCGAUCCCCACGCCACGAGAGACACAGGGUUGUCCUAGAACCAUUAUGACCUGUGGCCCACACCCCGGCAUUACG
rnacentral:rRNA from 1 species